AGUUAGUGGCGGACGGGUGAGUAACGCGUGGGUAACCCGCCUUACACAGGGGGAUAACACUUAGAAAUAGGUGCUAAAACCGCAUAAGCGCACAGCUUUGCAUGAAGCAGUGUGAAAAACUCCGGUGGUGUAAGAUGGACCCGCGUCUGAUUAGCUUGUUGGCGGGGUAACGGCCCACCAAGGCGACGAUCAGUAGCCGGCCUGAGAGGGCGGAUGGCCACAUUGGGACUGAGACACGGCCCAGACUCCUACGGGAGGCAGCAG
rnacentral:rRNA from 1 species